AAGGAUCAUUACAGAGUUCAUGCCCUCACGGGUAGAUCUCCCACCCUUGAAUAUUAUACCUUAGUUGCUUUGGCAGGCCGGGGCAACCCCCGGGGCUUCGGCCUUGGUGUGCCUGCCAGAGGAAACAAACUCUGUUUUUAGUGAUGUCUGAGUACUAUAUAAUAGUUAAAACUUUCAACAACGGAUCUCUUGGUUCUGGCAUCGAUGAAGAACGCAGCGAAAUGCGAUAAGUAAUGUGAAUUGCAGAAUUCAGUGAAUCAUCGAAUCUUUGAACGCACAUUGCGCCCCGUGGUAUUCCGCGGGGCAUGCCUGUUCGAGCGUCAUUUCAACCCAUCAAGCUUCGGCUUGGUCUUGGGGCCUGCGAUUCCGCAGCCUCUAAACCCAGUGGCGGUGCCUCCGAGCUCUGAGCGUAGUAAUUCUUCUCGCUAUAGGGUCUCGGUGGUGUCUUGCCAGCAACCCCCAAUUUUUUACAGGUUGACCUCGGAUCAGGUAGGGAUACCCGCUGAACUUAAGCAUAUCAAUAAGCGGAGGAAAAGAAACCAACAGGGAUUACCUCAGUAACGGCGAGUGAAGCGGUAACAGCUCAAAUUUGAAAUCUGCCGCAAGGCCGAGUUGUAAUUUGUAGAAGAUGCUUUGGGUAUGGCCCCGGUCUAAGUUCGUUGGAACAUGACGUCAUAGAGGGUGAGAAUCCCGUAUGUGACUGGGUGCUUUUGCCUAUGUAAAGCUCUUUCGACGAGUCGAGUUGUUUGGGAAUGCAGCUCAAAAUGGGUGGUAUAUUUCAUCUAAAGCUAAAUAUUGGCCAGAGACCGAUAGCGCACAAGUAGAGUGAUCGAAAGAUGAAAAGCACCUUGGAAAGAGAGUUAAACAGUACGUGAAAUUGUUGAAAGGGAAGCGCUUGCAACCAGACUUGCACGCUGUUGAUCAUCCAGGCUUCUGUCUGGUGCACUCGGCAGCGUUCAGGCCAGCAUCGGUUCUGGUGGUGGGAUAAAGGCCUUGGGAAUGUAGCUUCUUUCGGGGAGUGUUAUAGCCCUCGGUGCAAUGCCGCCUAUCGGGACCGAGGACCGCGCUUCGGCUAGGAUGCUGGCGUAAUGGUUGUAAGCGACC
rnacentral:rRNA from 1 species